AUUGAACGCUGGCGGCAUGCCUUACACAUGCAAGUCGAACGGUAACAGCACUUCGGUGGCUGACGAGUGGCGAACGGGUGAGUAAUACAUCGGAACGUGCCGAGAGUGGGGGAUAACGCAGCGAAAGCUGUGCUAAUACCGCAUACGAUCUACGGAUGAAAGCAGGGGACCGCAAGGCCUUGCGCUCAUGGAGCGGCCGAUGGCAGAUUAGGUAGUUGGUGGGAUAAAAGCUUACCAAGCCGACGAUCUGUAGCUGGUCUGAGAGGACGACCAGCCACACUGGGACUGAGACACGGCCCAGACUCCUACGGGAGGCAGCAGUGGGGAAUUUUGGACAAUGGGGGAAACCCUGAUCCAGCCAUGCCGCGUGCAGGAUGAAGGCCUUCGGGUUGUAAACUGCUUUUGUACGGAACGAAAAGGUCUUUUCUAAUAAAGAAGACUCAUGACGGUACCGUAAGAAUAAGCACCGGCUAACUACGUG
rnacentral:rRNA from 1 species